ensembl:lncRNA LINC02499 long intergenic non-protein coding RNA 2499
UCAGCUCCAACAUUAUGGUUGCUCAGUUUCUUCAGAAAGCAACUCAUGGAGAAGUACAAACCACAGUUAGAAAGUUGAGAGAUUUCAAUGAGAAGCACAGGACCUUUAAGUCACAUGGUUACCUUCAGAAUGCACUCACCAAUUGGUACAGUUAUGAAACCUCUAGAAGUCAUCCAUUCUUGUAUAGACUUACUCUCCUGGCAUGUCUACUUGCUAUGAAACAGCUGUUUAGUCAUGUUGCCAAGAAGAAAAGAAGACAGAAUGCCUCUAGAUAAAGAAAUGCUAUUCCUAUGUCAACUUGCUAUGCAAAGUGUGGACUGUGGACCAGCAGCAUGUGUGUCGCCUGGCAGCUUGUUGCAAAUGCAGAAUCUGAAGCUCUCAUCUAGACCUACUAAACAGACUUCACUUUAACAAUAUAACCGGGCAAGUCAUAUAGUCAUUAAAAUUUGAGAAGU